rnacentral:lncRNA from 1 species
GCCCGUCUUUGAGAAACACACCAAGAUAGAUGAGCGUUUCUGGUGAGGAAGUGUGUCCCUAAGGAGGAAGACCUCAGCUUUUCCCUGCGGCUGGCUAGUCAGGCCACGCGCGACUGUGAAUCAGCUGGUUACCACACGCGUGGCCCCACGUCCGGCACAGCCCAGGCCGCCUCUUGCUCCGCUGACGGGUGCGAGGCGCUGCCGGCCUUGCGGGGGCAGUCAGCGCCAUCUGUCGGAAAUGGAUGUGAGGAAAAUGGUGUCUGUGUCCCGACCUACUAGCAAGAAAGGAUGGGUGAACACCAUGCAAGCUUCAAAGCAGGAAAAUAUAAACAUGGAAGAUACUUAAGGAGCAACACUGUCUCUCACAAAGUAGAACUAAUUUGCUAACAAAUAACAAAUAUAAAUAGUGCAGUGGGUGUGUUUUGCUUUCUAGAGUCAUACCUAUCACUUCUUGUGUCCUUACUACUUCUAUGGCACCAGACUUCAAAAAAAUAUUAGUUCAUUGUGCUUUGGUUUCAUUGCUUGCAUUGCAUGAAAUUGCUACAUGAUUGAAAUAUUAUAUUAACAAAUUUAUAUUCACUAAAGCACUAUUAAGAGAAAUCUUCCUGUAGAGUGAAUAUUAUAUUUGCCUCCACCUGGCUUGCUCGUCUUCUGAGAUAGCUAGAUGAUAAGACGGGCAUUUCAGGUUUGUAGGACAUUUAUUCUAACUUCAGUGGCAUUGCUUCAUUUUGGUAGUAUUCAAUAUUUAAUUAGUUGUGGGAAAAAGUUCUGUAUCAGGAUAGCUUUCUGAAUU